rnacentral:rRNA from 1 species
CAGUCGCCGCGGUAAUACGUAGGUGGCAAGCGUUGUCCGGAAUUAUUGGGCGUAAAGGGCUCGCAGGCGGUUUCUUAAGUCUGAUGUGAAAGCCCCCGGCUCAACCGGGGAGGGUCAUUGGAAACUGGGAAACUUGAGUGCAGAAGAGGAGAGUGGAAUUCCACGUGUAGCGGUGAAAUGCGUAGAGAUGUGGAGGAACACCAGUGGCGAAGGCGACUCUCUGGUCUGUAACUGACGCUGAGGAGCGAAAGCGUGGGGAGCGAACAGGAUUAGAGACCCGCGUAGUCCCUGUCUCUUAUAC